UUGCACAGAUAGGAGUGGGGCUAGAUAGAAUAGAUAUAAAUUCAUUUUUGAAAGAUAUUGGUAAAAUAUAUUAAUAGUCUAUAUAAUAGGAAAUUCAGGAGGACGGAUGAGUGAUUUAGUUAUUAAAAGUGGUUAAUUACAGAAUUACGGUUAGAAUCUGGAGAAUCAAGGGAAAGUAUAUAGGAGUUAUAGAAGUUAAUUAAGGUGCCAUCGCUGUGAUAGUGUGAGCCGGGAUAAGCUUGGUGCUACCUCUUUUCUUUUGUUUGUUAUUUUCUUUGAAUAAAAGGAUUGAGAGUUUCUGAAUAUUGUGAAGUGAAUUAUGGAAUAGAAAUGUGAUUGGUAUUAUUUGAGAAGAAGAAAGAUUGAAUGCUGAAAUUUGAUUGUAGUUCAGCAGAGAGAAUAAAUCUGUGUUUGUAUGAAACACUGUAAUGUGAAUGGCAGUUCUGUGUGAAGAAUUCCAGUGAUUGGAACGAGGAUAAUUGUGUGCUAAAAGCUAUGAGGGUGCUGUAUUACAGAUGGAAAUUAUGAGGGUGAAUAUAUUGGUGGAAAUAACAGUUAUUGGUAUGACUGAAUUGCUAUAAGGAAGAGACCGAUAAGGUGAAGGAGGAGAUUAUAGUUUCUUUGUGUGUUCAGAUAUUGAAAAUAGAGACGAUACAUUCAGGAGGUAAUUGAUUGUGUGACC
rnacentral:lncRNA from 1 species